rnacentral:rRNA from 1 species
GAAAGUAAGUAAGGGCGUAUGGGGGAUGCCUAGGCUCUUGGAGGCUAAGAAGGACGUGGUAAGCUGCGAAAAGCUGCGGGGAUUUGCAAACGAGACUCGAUCCGCAGAUAUCCGAAUGGGACAACCCGGCAGGUAGAAGACCUGUCACACCGCGAGGUGAGCUAACCCUCUGAACUGAAACAUCUAAGUAGGAGGAGGAAAAGAAAGAAACAUCGAUUUCCAAAGUAGCGGCGAGCGAAAUGGAAGAAGCCCAAACCGAUAUUGUUACGGCAAUAUCGGGGUUGUAGGACUGCAAUAUUCAAUUAACAAUGAACUGGAAUGGUCUGGAAAGUCCAUCCAUAGAGAGUGAAAGGCUCGUACAGGUAAGUUUGUUAUGCGAAAGCAGUAUCCUGAGUAUGGCGGGACACGAGGAAUCCUGUCAGAAUCAGCCGGGACCACCCGGUAAGGCUAAAUACUCCCAAGAGACCGAUAGUGGACCAGUACUGUGAAGGAAAGGUGAAAAGAACCCCGAACAGGGGAGUGAAAUAGAACCUGAAACCAUACGCUUACAACCGGUCGGAGCAGCUUCGUGCUGUGACGGCGUGCCUAUUGAAUAAUGAGCCUACGAGUUACUAAUCACUAGCGAGGUUAAGUGCAAGGAUGCACGGAGCCGAAGCGAAAGCGAGUCUGAACAGGGCGUUUAGUUAGUGGUUGUAGACGCGAAACCUUGCGAUCUACCCUUGAGCAGGUUGAAGGUUGGGUAAAACCAACUGGAGGACCGAACGAAUAAGCGUUGAAAAGCUUCUCGAUGACUUGAGGGUAGGGGUGAAAGGCUAAUCAAGCUGGGAAAUAGCUCGUACUCCCCGAAAUGCCUUUUGGGGCAGCGUUGUAAUAAAGAGUCUACUGGAGGUAGAGCUACUGAUUGGAUGCGGGGGCUUCACCGCCUACCAAAUCCUGACAAACUCCGAAUGCCAGUAGUAUGAUUUACAGCAGUGAGUGACUGGGUGCUAAUGUCCAGUCGCAAAAGAGGAACAACUCAGACCAGCAACUAAGGUCCCGAAGAAUAUGCUAAGUUGAUCUAACGAUGUUUUGUUGCAGAGACAGCUAGGAUGUUAGCUUGGAAGCAGCUAUUCAUUCAAAGAGUGCGUAACAGCUCACUAGUCGAGCGACAGAGCGUGGAUAAUAAACGGGCAUCAAGCAUAUCACCGAAGUUCUGGGCGCGAGAGCGCGGUAGGGGAGCAUUCCAUUCAGCGUCGAAGCAGUUUCGUGAGGAAUUGUGGAGCGUAUGGAAAAGCAAAUGUAGGCAUGAGUAACGAUAAUGCGGGAGAGUAACCCGCACACCGCAAGACCAAGGUUUCCUGAUCAACGCUAAUCGGAUCAGGGUUAGUCGGGUCCUAAGGGUAAGCCGAACGGCGAUCUCGAUGGAUAAUCGGUUAAUAUUCCGAUACUAACAUAUACCUCGAUGGAGAGACGAAGGAACGUAAGUGCCGCCACCUGACGGAAUAGGUGGUUAAAGGGCGUAGGUAUAGGGGCAGAUUAAGAGUUAGUCCUUGCUGAAACCUGACAGUACAGAGAGCCUACGGGCAAUUUGAUAGAGCACCCAAGUCGACUUCCGAGAAAAUCUUCUAAGUUAUAGUAUAUGUUACCCGUACCGUAAACCGACACAGGUGGUCGAGGAGAGUAUCCUAAGGUGCUCGAGUGAAUCACGGUUAAGGAACUAGGCAAAUUAACCCCGUAACUUCGGGAAAAGGGGUCCCUAUGAAAGUAGGGCGCAGCGAAGAGGUCCAGGCGACUGUUUAUCAAAAACACAGGGCUCUGCAAAUUCGAAAGAAGACGUAUAGGGCCUGACACCUGCCCGGUGCUGGAAGGUUAAGAGGGGAUGUCAUCGCAAGAGAAGCAUUGAAUCGAAGCCCCAGUAAACGGCGGCCGUAACUAUAACGGUCCUAAGGUAGCGAAAUUCCUUGUCGGGUAAGUUCCGACCUG